rnacentral:rRNA from 1 species
AACGAACGCUGGCAGCAGGCUUAACACAUGCAAGUCGAACGCAUCCUUCGGGGUGAGUGGCAGACGGGUGAGUAACGCGUGGGAACGUGCCCUUCAGUUCGGAAUAACCCAGGGAAACUUGGGCUAAUACCGGAUACGUGCGAGAGCAGAAAGAUUUAUCGCUGAAGGAUCGGCCCGCGUCUGAUUAGCUAGUUGGUGAGGUAAUGGCUCACCAAGGCGACGAUCAGUAGCUGGUCUGAGAGGAUGAUCAGCCACAUUGGGACUGAGACACGGCCCAAACUCCUACGGGAGGCAGCAGUGGGGAAUAUUGGACAAUGGGCGCAAGCCUGAUCCAGCCAUGCCGCGUGAGUGAUGAAGGCCUUAGGGUUGUAAAGCUCUUUCGUCCGGGACGAUAAUGACGGUACCGGAAGAAGAAGCCCCGGCUAACUUCGUGCCAGCCGCCGCUGUAACAC